CCCCCUGGAGGCAGCAGUAGGGAAUCUUCGGCAAUGGACGAAAGUCUGACCGAGCAACGCCGCGUGAGUGAAGAAGGUUUUCGGAUCGUAAAACUCUGUUGUUAGAGAAGAACGUUGUGUAGAGUGGAAAAUUACACAAGUGACGGUAUCUAACCAGAAAGGGACGGCUAACUACGUGCCAGCAGCCGCGGUAAUACGUAGGUCCCGAGCGUUGUCCGGAUUUAUUGGGCGUAAAGCGAGCGCAGGUGGUUUAAUAAGUCUGAUGUAAAAGGCAGUGGCUCAACCAUUGUGUGCAUUGGAAACUGUUAGACUUGAGUGCAGUAGAGGAGAGUGGAAUUCCAUGUGUAGCGGUGAAAUGCGUAGAUAUAUGGAGGAACACCGGUGGCGAAAGCGGCUCUCUGGACUGUAACUGACACUGAGGCUCGAAAGCGUGGGUAGCAAACAGGAUUAGAUACCCUGGUAGUCCACGCCGUAAACGAUGAGUGCUAGUUGUUUGGGGCUAUCCAGCCCUAAGUGACGCAGCAAACGCAUUAAGCACUCCGCCUGGGGAGUACGACCGCAAGGUUGAAACUCAAAGGAAUUGACGG
rnacentral:rRNA from 1 species